rnacentral:rRNA from 1 species
UACGAAGGGGGCUAGCGUUGUUCGGAAUUACUGGGCGUAAAGCGCACGCAGGCGGCCCGAUAAAUUAGAAGUGAAAGCCCCGGGCUUAACCUGGGAAUUGCUUUUAAGACUGUCGAGCUAGAAUCCAGAAGAGGGUAGUGGAAUUCCGAGUGUAGAGGUGAAAUUCGUAGAUAUUCGGAAGAACACCAGUGGCGAAGGCGACUACCUGGUCUGGCAUUGACGCUCAUGUGCGAAAGCGUGGGGAGCAAACAGG